rnacentral:rRNA from 1 species
CAGCAGCCGCGGUAAUACGUAGGUGGCAAGCGUUGUCCGGAAUUAUUGGGCGUAAAGGGCUCGCAGGCGGUUUCUUAAGUCUGAUGUGAAAGCCCCCGGCUCAACCGGGGAGGGUCAUUGGAAACUGGGAAACUUGAGUGCAGAAGAGGAGAGUGGAAUUCCACGUGUAGCGGUGAAAUGCAUAGAGAUGUGGAGGAACACCAGUGGCGAAGGCGACUCUCUGGUCUGUAACUGACGCUGAGGAGCGAAAGCGUGGGGAGCGAACAGGAUUAGAUACCCCAGUAGUCCCUGUCUCUUAUAC